UGGGGAAUUUUGGACAAUGGGGGAAACCCUGAUCCAGCCAUCCCGCGUGUGCGAUGAAGGCCUUCGGGUUGUAAAGCACUUUUGGCAGGAAAGAAACGUCGCGGGUUAAUACCCCGCGGAACUGACGGUACCUGCAGAAUAAGCACCGGCUAACUACGUGCCAGCAGCCGCGGUAAUACGUAGGGUGCAAGCGUUAAUCGGAAUUACUGGGCGUAAAGCGUGCGCAGGCGGUUCGGAAAGAAAGAUGUGAAAUCCCAGAGCUUAACUUUGGAACUGCAUUUUUAACUACCGGGCUAGAGUGUGUCAGAGGGAGGUGGAAUUCCGCGUGUAGCAGUGAAAUGCGUAGAUAUGCGGAGGAACACCGAUGGCGAAGGCAGCCUCCUGGGAUAACACUGACGCUCAUGCACGAAAGCGUGGGGAGCAAACAGGAUUAGAUACCCUGGUAGUCCACGCCCUAAACGAUGUCAACUAGCUGUUGGGGUCUUCGGACCUUGGUAGCGCAGCUAACGCGUGAAGUUGACCGCCUGGGGAGUACGGUCGCAAGAUUAAAACUCAAAUGAAUUGACGGGGUCAUAGCUGUUUCCU
rnacentral:rRNA from 1 species